rnacentral:rRNA from 1 species
UACGGAGGGUGCAAGCGUUAUCCGGAUUCACUGGGUUUAAAGGGAGCGUAGGUGGGGCGGUAAGUCAGUGGUGAAAUCUCCGGGCUUAACUCGGAAACUGCCGUUGAUACUAUCGUUCUUGAAUAUUGUGGAGGUAAGCGGAAUAUGUCAUGUAGCGGUGAAAUGCUUAGAUAUGAUACAGAACACCGAUAGCGAAGGCAGCUUGCUGAACCAAUAUUGACGCUGAGGCACGAAAGCGUGGGGAGCGAACAGG